rnacentral:rRNA from 1 species
UACGUAGGUGGCAAGCGUUUGUCCGGAAUUAUUGGGCGUAAAGCGCGCGCAGGUGGUUUCUUAAGUCUGAUGUGAAAGCCCACGGCUCAACCGUGGAGGGUCAUUGGAAACUGGGGAACUUGAGUGCAGAAGAGGAAAGUGGAAUUCCACGUGUAGCGGAUGAAAUGCGUAGAGAUGUGGAGGAACACCAGUGGCGAAGGCGACUUUCUGGUCUGUAACUGACACUGAGGCGCGAAAGCGUGGGGAGCGAACAGG